GGCCUUUUAUAGAGUUUUGAUCCUGGCUCAGAUUGUAUGCUGGCGGCAUGCUUUACACUUGAUAGGUCGAACGGUAACAGGCCGCAAGGUGCUGACGAGUGGCGAACGGGUGAGUAAUGCAUCGGAACGUACCCAGUCGUGGGGGAUAACGCAGAGAAAGCUGUGCUAAUACCGCAUACGAUGUAUGGAUGAAAGCGGGGGACCGUAAGACCUCGCGCGAUUGGAGCGGCCGAGGUCAGAUUAGGUAGUUGGUGGGGUAAAGGCUCACCAAGCCAGCGAUCUAUAGCUGGUCUGAGAGGACGACCAGCCACACUGGGAGUGAGACACGGCCCAGACUCCUACGGGAGGCAGCAGUGGGGAAUUUUGGGCAAGGGGCGCAAGCGGGAUCCAGCAAAGCCGCGGGCAGGAAGAAGGCCUUCGGGUGGUAAACUGCUUUUGACGGAAGGAAACGAUCCUGGUUAAUACCGAGGGAUAAUGACGGUACCGUCAAGAAUAGCACCGCUAAUCUGCAGACUAAUCGCC
rnacentral:rRNA from 1 species